AUUAAGAUGGCAGAAAAGUGCACUAGGUUUAAGAUUUAGAUAUAGAUGAUAAUCUUCUUAAUU
rnacentral:tRNA from 1 species